rnacentral:rRNA from 1 species
AGACGUCUACAUUAGAUACCCCCGUAGUCCCAGCCCUAAACGAUGCGCGUUAGGUGUAUCGGUGACCACGAGUCACCGAGGUGCCGAAGGGAAACCGUGAAACGUGCCGCCUGGGAAGUACGGUCGCAAGGCUGAAACUUAAGGAAUUGGCGGGGAGCACCACAACGGGUGGAGCCUUGCGGUUUAAUUGGACUCAACGCCGGGAAGCUCACCGGAUAAGACAGCGGAAUGAUUGCCGGGCUGAAGACCCUGCAUGACCAGCUG